GGUUAAUAUUCCUGUACUUGGUGUUACUGCGAAGGGGGGACGGAGAAGGCUAUGUUGGCCGGGCGACGGUUGUCCCGGUUUAAGCGUGUAGGCUGGUUUUCCAGGCAAAUCCGGAAAAUCAAGGCUGAGGCGUGAUGACGAGGCACUACGGUGCUGAAGCAACAAAUGCCCUGCUUCCAGGAAAAGCCUCUAAGCAUCAGGUAACAUCAAAUCGUACCCCAAACCGACACAGGUGGUCAGGUAGAGAAUACCAAGGCGCUUGAGAGAACUCGGGUGAAGGAACUAGGCAAAAUGGUGCCGUAACUUCGGGAGAAGGCACACUGAUAUGUAGGUGAAGCGACUUGCUCGUGGAGCUGAAAUCAGUCGAAGAUACCAGUUGGCUGCAACUGUUUAUUAAAAACACAGCACUGUGCAAACACGAAAGUGGACGUAUACGGUGUGACGCCUGCCCGGUGCCGGAAGGUUAAUUGAUGGGGUUAGCCGCAAGGCGAAGCUCUUGAUCGGAGCCCCGGUAAACGGCGGCCGUAACUAUAACGGUCCUAAGGUAGCGAAAUUCCUUGUCGGGUAAGUUCCGACCUGCACGAAUGGCGUAAUGAUGGCCAGGCUGUCUCCACCCGAGACUCAGUGAAAUUGAACUCGCUGUGAAGAUGCAGUGUACCCGCGGCAAGACGGAAAGACCCCGUGAACCUUUACUAUAGCUUGACACUGAACAUUGAGCCUUGAUGUGUAGGAUAGGUGGGAGGCUUUGAAGUGUGGACGCCAGUCUGCAUGGAGCCGACCUUGAAAUACCACCCUUUAAUGUUUGAUGUCCUAACGUUGACCCGUAAUCCGGGUUGCGGACAGUGUCUGGUGGGUAGUUUGACUGGGGCGGUCUCCUCCUAAAGAGUAACGGAGGAGCACGAAGGUUGGCUAAUCCUGGUCGGACAUCAGGAGGUUAGUGCAAUGGCAUAAGCCAGCUUGACUGCGAGCGUGACGGCGCGAGCAGGUGCGAAAGCAGGUCAUAGUGAUCCGGUGGUUCUGAAUGGAAGGGCCAUCGCUCAACGGAUAAAAGGUACUCCGGGGAUAACAGGCUGAUACCGCCCAAGAGUUCAUAUCGACGGCGGUGUUUGGCACCUCGAUGUCGGCUCAUCACAUCCUGGGGCUGAAGUAGGUCCCAAGGGUAUGGCUGUUCGCCAUUUAAAGUGGUACGCGAGCUGGGUUAGAACGUCGUGAGACAGUUCGGUCCCUAUCUGCCGUGGGCGCUGGAGAACUGAGGGGGGCUGCUCCUAGUACGAGAGGACCGGAGUGGACGCAUCACUGGUGUUCGGGUUGUCAUGCUAAUGGCACUGCCCGGUAGCUAAAUGCGGAAGAGAUAAGUGCUGAAAGCAUCUAAGCACGAAACUUGCCCCGAGAUGAGUUCUCCCUGACUCCUUGAGAGUCCUGAAGGAACGUUGAAGACGACGACGUUGAUAGGCCGGGUGUGUAAGCGCAGCGAUGCGUUGAGCUAAC
rnacentral:rRNA from 1 species